UUCAAUUGGCAAAUCAUAGACUUCACACCUUAUUGGGGAUCUUCAUUCAUAAUCUGGUUGAAGACAGAAGUUGGAUACAUUUCUUAGAAUGGUAUACAUACCGAUUCUUAGACUGUCUUUGGCGAUUGUUAAAAUGCUAGUCACCUCGUAUCUUCAAGUCAGUCCAGACAACGAACUUGAUUUGAUGAAGGUAAUAUUUUAGAUCAUCCAAUCGAAACUCAGAAGACUUCGAUACAAUAUAUGAAAAUGUUCAGAUUUGGCAG
rnacentral:lncRNA from 1 species